CUGAAGACGCUUAGCCCCUGAGCUGCCGGUUCUUCAUCCCAUGUUCAGUUGCUGGAUCAGCUCUAUUUUAGGAAAGAGUUAUUUCGGCAGAUGAGUCUACAUGGAUUUUAAAUUGAAUUGAGUUGAGGAGGGGGCCCCAGGAGGGGAAGGCUGAUCAGAGCUAGCAGAAUAUCGGAAGUUAUUGCAGUUGCGACAACAAAAUCCCAUCUAGCUAGCUCCAAUGCGACCGCUCCAGGCUUCCAGCCCCGUACUACUACCAGGCUAGGCCGGCGUAUACAUACGGGAUACGGUCCGUGUUCUGCGGUUACAUAAUCACGGAAAAUGGCUUCAUCUACAGGAACCGGGCCUGGCAAUCCCCCCAAACCUCCUGAAAAUAUGAAGAGGGUAGACUUUUCUCGGGAUGAACUAUCUGCUAGAGACAAAGAGUAUAUCAAUAAGAUGACGGACGCACAUCGAAAAAAUGUAGAGAAGCUGUCUAGAGCAAGAUAUGUGAAGCGGAAUGGUUUGUUAGCAUUGGCAUUGGGAGCAAGUGCGCUUGGUGUCUAUACAUACUCAAUUUAUUCUGUCUCACAAGAAUCAUUUCUGGAAGACUUUGAUGAACCAAAUAAAAGUUCAUAAUGAAGUAGCUAGGAUUCUGCUGAGAUUAAUAGAUGUGAAAUGAAAAUGGGAAACUGUGGUCAUUUAGACCAAAUCCAAACUCUGAGAUGGUCAUGUGUUGUAUAUGGAAGCUUUCAUGUGGAGGAAAGAAGAUUGUUGCUUUGAUUACAUCCUGACAUUGAGCAAGCACUCUGAUGAUCUGGAAGACGUGGAGCAGGAGACAACUAACAAGAUUCAAGCACUACGUUUUAUGGGUACAAUAAAAAGUUAAACAGAACAGUUAUGUCUUGUUAUAUGAUUGAACUAAAAUUAUUCUAGUCCAAGAGCAUGAAUAGCUCUACAGAUUUUAUUACUAUUUUGUUUUAUGAAGUCAUAUUCAUGAUACAUGGAUAUGAAAUAGAUUCUUUCUUAUAAUCUUACAAUGAUAGGGGGAGAAUAUGAAAACUAAACAUUUUCUCAAUGAUUAACCAGUGAGAAUUUUCCCAGACAUAAUCAUUUGUACAUGGUGAACAAAGAAAUUUUGGUAACUCAUAAUCAUCACUUCAUGUCUAGUGGACAUAUGGCAAUAUGUAUUUUUUUUUUGCUUUCCAUAGAAAUGAUCUGUUGGCAGAGCUCUAUUACAUGUAAAUCUUUAAAGAUGCUAAAUCCAGAGCUUUUUUUUUUCUUUUAAAUUUUUAAAUUGUCAUGUAUACAGCAACAGUCAAUUAGUUCUGUAGGAAGUGAGCUGUUAACUUGUACCACUUAUGGUUUUAUACAUAAACCAGUUACAUCAAAAUACCCCUUAAUAGUGUGUUUCAAAGUUUUGGUACACAUUUUUAUUUGAAUAAAACUUUGAAGUGCAUCAAACCAAUUUGAAAUGCCUAUUUGGCAUGUUGACAAUACAAGAACUGCUUGUGUAACAACCUUUCAACGAUGUAUUUCUGAGGCAUUAUUUUAAUGUAUCAUGUUUUCCUACUUGAUAUCAUAGUAUGUAUCACAUUAUUAGUUGACUGUUGACCCAUAUGAUUCUGAUUUUUCCUAUAUAUUGCAGAGAUCAGAUUAAAGAUUUGUCUCUUUCUAAAUCUGAGAGCAAUAACACUGAGAAUAUACAGUAUUUAAGGCAAAGUGUAUAGACAGCUAAUUUUAUGUCCACUCUGACUUAAAAAGCAAUUGGAAUUGCAGUUAAAAUCAUGACAAAAAGUGCAUAAUGAACGAUCAUGGUGGUGAAUCAGGAAUGCAAUGCACUCAUAGUGUUGGUUUCCAUUAUUUUUCUCCUUAACAAUGAAAGAACCCCAGUAAUGGGAUUUGUGAUGUAUUUCAUUACAUGUAUAUGUAUCUUCACCCAAGAUGAUGCAAUUUACAAUGUUUGUUAUUGGAUUUGGCCUAUUUGUUAUUAUUUACAUAUUAAAACUAUAUCAAUUCAAAUAGUAUAUAUAUGCUCAAAUGUUCAUAAAAUAUACUGAGAAAUUGUUUUACUUGGGCUACUAGCUUGAGUUGGAGGAUCUGAAGGAUAUUCUGAAUUUAGAUGAUGAAUAUUUGUUCAUUCACAGUGAAUACACCACAUUUGAUUUAGAAUUUUCUCUUUGGAGCCAGGUCCCGCUGACUGCAUUAUAGUCCCUUACAGGAUAUUUUUGUAUGGUGAGAGCACCACAUAUCUACCACCUUGCAUCCAUUAAAAAUAAAGUUAUUGCGUAUUACAAACUAUACGCGCAGGAGAGUAGGCGCAGUGUUUAUAGGAACGGUAAGAAUCGAUUUUACGAGAGAAAAAGAAGGGAAAAGUAAAAAUAUAGUAGAAUUUAUUAAAAUUGUUAUGACUGAACCUGAACCCCGCCCUGUUUGCGAUAGGGAACUGCUUUAGAACAAAUAUCCGUCGUCGAUCGUCGAAUCAUGUGCAGGAGCUCACAGUGGAGGUUGUGAGAUGAUCAUUUAAUAUGUUGACAUCAUAGAACUGAUUUGGAAGAGUCAAGAAUCGGCCGUAAACUUAGUGUAUCGUGGGUGGUCGAUUUUAAAAGAAGGGUGCGAAUGAGCAAAUGUAAAAUUGUUGUAUUAGUUGUUCGCCAGUAUAUACGUGAAUUGAAUUGGAGUCGCCGAUCGAAACAUGGGAAUCUGAUCACUCAAUUUCCUGCAAGAAUGAGAUGAAAACUAGGUAAAACUGAUCAAUAUUUUCGGAGAUACGAUGCUUAGAAAAUUAGGUGGUCAAUAAGGGGUAGUUUUAACCAUACUUUAUCAAUACAGAAUAAAUAUAAAAGAAAAAAGUAGUGUGCAGUUUCAAAUCCUGUGCAUUGUGCUGUUAAAAAUUUGUUUAUUAUAUUGGAUGCUCAUGCAUGAAUUAAUCCCCCAAAAUAUGUUUGAAAUAUGUUGCCAACUCUUUGUUAAUACCAGGUUUUGUGCAGGAAAGAUUUGUCUGUAACUCUGUAUGUGUAAAAAAGGUGGAUAUUAUGAGAAUGAAUGGAAUACAAGCAAUUUAUACAAUGUGAAAGAAAUGGGUGAUAGACAAGCAAGGUGAUUAUUAUACAGACAAGAUAAUUUAAUUAAAGUAACCUGUACCUAUUCAGUUUAAAAGUGGCAAUUUCAGUAACAAUUGAAAUGGCCACAAGUUUGACACCUUGAUAACUGAAUUAUUAAUUAUUCAGCAAUGUUGUCAUUCAAUUUGUUAUAAAUUUACUUCUCAAAAUAGAGCUAGAAUACUCAGGAUUGAUGUACUCCUAUAUUAAAUUGUCAAAUGAAAUAUUUGGUCAAAAUAACUUAGCUCUGGGCCCCAAAAUACAAGGAGUGUAAUAGAUUCCAUCAAAACUGAAAGUGUGAUUGAUCAUCAUAUUCUAAGUUCCCUCUUAUUAUUCAAGAUCGUUAUCAGUUUAGUUCAAUAUGUAAAAUGGCCCAGCUAUUGGUCUUAAAAUUUGCAGUUGCAUGCACAACCAAUGAUGAUUUUAUUUUGUUUGGCACCUCCUGUGCCUGGGAACCAAUAUGUGAAUUGAAUCCUUACAUGACCAGUAAGUCUCUCGUGAUAAAAAUGCAAAAUAAUUGUGAAUAUCUGUGUCACACAGGACCGGGAGAAUAAUUUUUUUUUUUUAGUGGAAUGGAAGGUCUGAUAUGCAUCCACUUACAAGUCUAAAAGACAUCAAUUGAAGCCUGUACAAUAGUAGAUUGAUAUGGGAUCAAAAGAGUGUUCUCUGUUACUCAUAUUUUUUUAUCAUUUGGUUGGCAGAUAAUAAGCCAGUUCGUAGUUCCAUUCUGCGCAUGACCAGAAGGUCAUUUGUACUAAAGUUACAGAGUGGUUUAACAUUCAAUGAGAUAAGCACCAUCAUUGAAGUCUUGAUUAUUCUUUUGAAAUGUGUUUUCACUAGAUCCACAAAAAAGCAAUGCAUCAACUAAUACUGGUUUUUAACAGUUGGCCAAGUACAUUGCAUUCAAAGAA